UUUAGCAGGUCGUUCAACCAUGUGGCCGUCACGCAGCGAUUCCCAUACCGCCUCCCUCCAUGCCCUCCUGCCCUCCUCCCCCGCCUAUCUCAGCAGCCAGGAGGAGCUAGGCCUCCGCAGUCAGGCCCUCCUGGAUCAGCCCCGCUACAGGUCUAUGGCUGCGGGCUGCGGACCCUCCCCGGCAGUCUUGGCCGCGCAGGCGGAAGCGCAGCUGGGGGUGCCCCCCGUGGGGCCAACACGAGGAGAGGACUUCAUUCGCUGGAUGUAUUGGGGGGGUGAGUGCGGGAUUGGGAUUGGGAUUGGGGUGGGGGGUGGGGUGGGGGUGGGGUGGGGUGGGGUGGGGUGCCGCUAAGGAGGUGCUGCGCAUUGCUGGGAAAUGGUGAUACACUUGAGCUCAAGUCGCCUUGCUAAAGGGGGGUUGGGGUAUGGUUUAGGAUGGCCUUUCUGGAGAGAUAGCUUUUGAAUGAGGUGUAUGCUGCCCUCAUCUGGGAGGGGAAACAGGUGUGGGAAAUGAACGGGAGACGGAACAUUUUCCCGAGAGGUUGUGGUAUAUACCCUUGAGGUUGUGGUACCCCCGUAUCUCACACAGUGUGAGGUGUGUGGCGUCAGCAGUCGCUGUUUAUGUCAUUAACUUCCCUAGCACGUUGUUCUUUGAGCGAGGCGGGGCCGAUAUGUGAUAUAGCCCACUUUUACGCAAUCAAUGCAUGACAGUUUUCCUCCCCAGUAUGACGUUAGCUAUUAAAUGAUUCUGAGUCGUCUUUCCUGAGUGAGGAAGCACUCCGCUCGUAUCGCCGACGUGACUGUCGUGGCCCGUGUUACGUUAUGUUAUGUUAUGUUAUGUUAUGGUGGCCCGUUUGUUUGCAGCUUCCAACACCGACCGGAACCCCGGGGUGAGCGCCGGCAGUGCGGGGGGUGGCAGUGGCAGCGGCACAGCCGGUUUUUCAGGCUGGCCCAGCGUUUUGUCGGGCGGCUUGCCCGGGGCGGCCCCCCCGCCAUUCACCCCGCAUGCGGUGAGCCAUGCCGCUGGCGGACUUCAGAGGCCCCAAGUAGAGGGGGCCUUCCGGGGGCUCUUGGACCCCACACCCUCGCAACGAGGGGAGGAGGAGCUUUAGGGCAUUUUCUAAUGAGGGGAAAAGGAAGAUUAACGAGUUGGGCUUAUAUAUGACUCGCGUAGGGUUUAAGGCACGGAGAAGCGAUACUCUCCGCAAUCCCCAAGUGGAAAGGCGCUGGCUCGUCCGUACACAUGUGCAUUACGAGAGUAGGUGUUUUGCGUGGUCAGUACUGCCAGGGGGGUGAAAAUCCCCCCCCCGCACAUCACCAGCGCGCAUAUCAACAGGAGGAUUCAUUCGUGUGAGCACCCGUACUUACCGACCUUGUAUAUGUACGACAGGUUCCGGAGCUAUGUGAACGGAUGCGGGCAGACGCGCAGCGCAUGACGUCAGCCUUGGCGGCCUGCCGUACAGCAGGUCGUUUGCAGUUACAGAACGAGCUGAGUACGGCCAUGGAUGCGUCGUACCGCGAGGCGGAGCGAUGCAGCCAGUGGCGGCGGAGGGUGCAGGUAGGGGCGUUGUGUAUAAGCGUGUGUGUAUAUAUGUAUGUAUGUAUAUGUGAGAGAAGUCACAGACGCUACCGUCGUGCUUCUGUGACUGUGGCUUCAUUCCCCUCCUGCUUCCUGUUUUGAUGUCUGGUCUGUCGGGGUUCCCUUUGUCCAUCCGAACCACCGCAGCAACAGGAGCCUAGGGGCCCGUGGGGGGUUUUAGCCCGGGUGUGUUGACUGCGUUGUACUCGACUCGUACGUGUGACACGGCUGAGAUACGCUGCCCUCGUACUGCCCUCGUACUGUCCUCGUACACACUCUAAUGACAUCAGUCCCAUGUCGUCUUUAGGAUUACACCCAGCGUUGUGAGGACUCGGGGAGUCUGUCUGCCGUACUGGCGGCGACGGACGUCAUCAACCAAGCGCUCCAAGACUGGCAGAACUUCACGAGCAAGGAGGUGUUUGACACGCUACGGAUUGUCGUACCGCC
rnacentral:lncRNA from 1 species